AGAGGAAUAGCUGGGUCAAAUGGUGUUUCCCCAUUUCCAGUUUUCCAAGCAUUCUCCAUACUGCUUUCCAAAUUGGCUGCACCAAUUUGCAGUCCCACCAGCAAU
rnacentral:pre_miRNA from 1 species